CGUUAUAUAAAAGAUUUCUACUUCAAAAAUAGUCUAGAAACGCUACGUUACCACUGAAAGAACAUAAGUAUUUUUUAAUCAAAGGAUAAAAGUCCAGGCAUUUCUUUUACACACUUUAGCCUAUUGAAAAAGAAAGAAUAAGAAAAAACACAUCGAAACGAUUUAAAGCGACCCAAAACAAUCCUCGAGAACGGUUUCGU
rnacentral:lncRNA from 1 species